rnacentral:rRNA from 1 species
GAUGAACGCUAGCGGCGUGCCUAACACAUGCAAGUCGAACGAACGACCGGAGCUUGCUCUGGAAGUUAGUGGCGAACGGGUGAGUAACACGUGAGCAACCUACCCUAGAGUGGGGGACAACAUCUGGAAACGGAUGCUAAUACCGCAUAAGACCACGAGGUCACAUGACCUUGAGGCCAAAGGAUUUAUUCGCUUUAGGAUGGGCUCGCGCCUGAUUAGCUAGUUGGUAAGGUAACGGCUUACCAAGGCAACGAUCAGUAGCCGGACUGAGAGGUCGAUCGGCCACAUUGGGACUGAGACACGGCCCAGACUCCUACGGGAGGCAGCAGUGGGGAAUAUUGGGCAAUGGGCGAAAGCCUGACCCAGCGACGCCGCGUGGAGGAAGAAGGUUUUCGGAUUGUAAACUCCUGUCUUCGGGGAAGAUAAUGACGGUACCCGAGGAGGAAGCCACGGCUAACUACGUGCCAGCAGCCGCCGUAAGAC